GCCCCGCACCCCUCCCCCGUCUCAGUGGUGGAGAAGGGGACACCUCAUUUUCUUGGAACCACUCCUUCUACCUCCCGGGGUUUCCAGAACUUUAAGGCAUCCCAGCAACCCUAUAGUUCCACGAGUCCUGCCUCCUUACACAGUACCUCUCAGAAAGAACAGCUUCCAGUAUGGAGAAGCGACCCUCUGGGGACUCCUCCUCCAACCUUUUUUGGGGGCCCUCCAGAGAAGCCUUAUUAUUAGGAAGGGGAGGCAAAAGGAAACCUCUCAGCACUAUGGGCUUGAAAAGCACCCCUCCCCCAGGGCUUGGUACCUGUUGGGUGGAUGGAAGAAUCUCUCUGCCAAUCUUAGAAGGCAAGGAGAGGUCACACAAGGCCACCUCAAGGUUAGGCAGAAUCAAAGAGAAAAAGACCCAUCCUGUUUUCGGCAGUAGGACUGUUAAGAUUCUAGAACCUUUCAGCAUGGUGAGGAAUAUCUUCCCCCAGCCCCCAUCGCCUGAAGAGUGACAGGUUUUUACUGUUUUCCUUCCGUCUUACUCUACUCCACACCUCUUUAGCUGGCUGACAGCCAGCAAUUCAGAGAGCUGCUUCCUGUACACUGAGAGGGUGGAUUCCAGCUACUCCCAAAGAAUGAACUUGAUAAACCAUUAGGUGCUCCCCUAAACAUUCUCACAACCUCCUUUCUCCACCAGAACCCCAUGAAGUCCAAGGGGCUGGGGCAUCCCCUCAUUCUUCCACACCCACCUCUCCAAAUGGGCUUUUUAAAAAAAAAUUACACUGAUUCUUUUAAAUUUUAUUAUAUGAAAGCCAUACACAUUUACUGUAGAAAUGCAGUAACGUCGAAAAUCUGGAAAUUACAGAAAAACCAAAGAGGAAAAUUACAAUUACUUUAUUCCACCAUCCAAAAAUAACCACUAUUAUUAACGUUUCGGGGUUUGUCCUCAGUCUUUUUUAUCUGUUUUAUGUAUAGAAGUAUACACCCAUAUCUUAAAAAUGAAAAUUGAGAUCACAUAACACUAUUUUUAUAACCUUUUUAAUAUUCAAAAAGCAUUUUUCUUUCCAGGCAAAUGUUUUUCUACAUAACUUUUAAUGGCUGCACAGUACUCCACCAUCUGGAUGGAUAUACAAUAAUUUACUUAAGCAAUUCCCUAUUGCAAAUUUUCAUUACAGCAGGAAAGAAAUGAAUUCCCAGUCACAGCGUUGCUUUAUAUUUUUCUCUAUUGCAAUGCUGGGAUGAACAUCUUACACCUUAAUCUUUAAUUAUUUUCUUAGGAUAAAUUGCCAAAUGUAGAAUUAUUAGGUCAAAGGCUAUAGAAACUUUUAGGGUGUUUAAUACAUAUUACCAAACCAACAUCCAGAAGGCUGCACCAAUUUGUACCCCCAUAUGCAACGCAUGGGAGUGUUAUUAUUUUAAUACUCCUUUGCCAAUACUGGGUCUUAUUUUUUUCUGUUAUAGUUUGCUAAGGGAAAAAUACUUCCAGUUAUAUUUGCCUUUCUUUACUAAUGAAACACAUUUUUUUUCAUGGUUUUAUCCUUUUAAAUUUUGUUUAUGAGUUUCCUGUGUGAGUCCUUUCACAGUUGGCUCUUGCUCCUUGAGGCUACUUAGAUAAAAAAUUGCAGGAUAGAAUUACAGAGAAGAGGUGGAAAUAGGAGGAUGAAGCCACAGGACGCUUUAAUAUGGUCUUACAUCUCUGAGGGAGGUGGAAAGACUGGAGAGAAAUGGCGAAUGAAGUAGACGGCUGGAAGCUUGUCCUUGAUGGAGGCUGGCUGUCCUCCCUCCUCCAGGGGUCCUUCUGGCCUUUAUGGCCCACUCUGUGGGGUGCCCAGACAGGGCCCUGUGCUCUCUGGGCCUGGUCCUUCACUGGUCUUCUGCCUGUCUCUGUGUUUCCAGGCUGCUCCUCCUCAUCUCUGCUCCAUGAUGGAAGAGGACGGCAGAGUCACAUACCCAGGGUGGGAGGGAGACACUGUGGCCAGUGAAGCAAGGAGGGGAAGAAAGGACAGAAGCAACGUCCAGGGACAGAGUGAUCUUCAUUGUAGCCUGUGAGUGGAUUCUGUCUGCCCACCCUCCUCUACUGCAGUCCCACAUACACCCAGCUUAGGCUGCAGAAUAAUGGGGUCAAUGAUCUCCUGUCCCCUAAAUCUCUGUUUGUCAUAAAUGGAGAACAGGACCCAGCUCCCUGCACACCUGCUGCCCCAAAGCAGAACAAACAGCUUUCUGUAGCCCCUGAAGGUGGCCACGUUCAGGCCGGGAGACAAGGCCAAAGCUGAAUCACGUCAGAACCUGAGCCCAAGAGUGAGACUGGAUCAGGAGCUGGGGGUGGCAGGUUUACACUGCCUGACGCCCCAGAGGGGGUGCAUCCCACAACCUCUCUCUCCUGGUUGCUAGAGGGUAGGAUUUCCUGCCUGUACAAGCCUGAGCUGAUCUCACACACUAUCCCAAAAAACAAAGUGAGGGAAGAAACAGCAGCGGCAGCUAGAGGUCCAUCACGGGCUGCACUCCUGCUGUGGGUGGCAGGGGAAGCCUGAGGCCACCUGUGCAUGGUGGAAACUCCGUGUGGAGACCGACUCCUACUAGCCCCUUGCAUUCAUCUAACCCUACCCCUCCCUCCACCCCACCCCACAACAGCUCCUGUGGUUACAGUCAUGGAUGGAGGAGGGGCAACAGCUUAUGUGAAAAGCUGUUUUGUUCCCACCCACAGGGGGAGGAGAGCCCAGGCUCUGUCUGCACAAGCGGGCUUCUGAUUCCCUCAUGCACACUCUACUGUGUGAUUCCCCAUCUCACAGGUGGAGAAGCUGAGACAGGAGGUCUAGGGUCCUACAUAUAGGAAAGUAUCCCGGAAUCCAGAGUCUGGGCCAGUCCCAGGAAAUACAGGGAAAGAUAUUUCUUUGCUCCACUUCUUCCCAUUGUCACACAAAGACCAACUAGCCUCACGUAGUCAGAGCCAUCUAUUCCCCAAUUCAGCCACGGUCUCUAACCUGAAAUGCUUCUCUCUUGCUGGGCCAAUCUAGGUGAAGGCUCUCCAACUGAACAGGGUUCCCUUUGCCAAAAGGUAUCAUCACUCCCGCUGUCCAGACCUUCCCAGCCCCAGCUCUGUCACCUUCCAGACGAGGGGGAAAGCAGCUCCUUCUCCUCUUCCUCCUCCUCGAAGCCAGGGGCAGAGGGCAACAGUUCUUCAACUGGCAGCUUUAGCUGGGUCAGGACAUAAAGCUUGCCACUGAAGAACUACUGCGGCUCAGCCAGGUGAGGAUGUGGGAGGUACAGGCUCCUGAGGGAAAGGGAAGAAAGAUGGGAAAGAUCUGAGCAGGGCCAUGUCACAGGGAUACUGUCCCACUGGCUGUCAAAGUCCAGUCCCAGCAGAUACUCCACCUUCUAAUGAGGGGUUCUUGGCUCUAACCUGAGCCUGCAGGAGCUGUUAACUUCAGUGAGAAGCAAGAGGCAGCUCUAAACAUACUUCUUUGCUCCUCUUUAAGAACUGAAGGCUGUAGAAACCCAAGCCUGUGCUCCCCCCCCUUUCCCCAGCUACCCACAGGGGGCAGGGAGGGGCAGCUUCCUCAGCAUUCAGAGAGCCCAGGACCUGGGACCCUGGAACACAUCCCACCAGUCGCUUAGGUCCCAAGUGAGAAGCUGCACCUCAGGUCCAGAAAUAUGAGUUCAGUGAUCAGCCCUGCUGACUCGUUUCCAGGGAGUUCAGCUGGAAGAAGAGUUUUGGGGGCCUACAUCUGGGGAAGAGUGAGGAAGGGAGGAGGUCUAGAGUUUGGAAGGUCAGCAGAGGCUCCAGGGACUGUGAGGAGAGGACAGGGGACCAAAGGUUGGAGGGGAGGGAGGUAUGGGCAGGGUGGUUGGGCAGCUUCCCCAGGACUCUCAAAUGCCAGGCAUUCCGCUUGCGCAUUCCGGGUACAUCUGGUAUGAAUUCCAGGCUGUCUGCCGGCCCCUCCAUGUCUGAACUUUGUUCCAAGUUCCAAGCCCCGCCCCCACAGUUCCAACGCAUGAAUCAGCAGGAAAAGCCGGGCCCAGCAGCAUGGCCCAGGGAGGGGGCUGGGGGCGUGGCAGGCUUGAGGGCUGUGAGCUGGGGAGGGCGGGUCUGUGCUGACACUCAGUCCAAGGGCAUGGCCCAUGCCAGUGUGAGGGGCCAAGGUGGUCUCGCCUUGAGAUUUCUAUACUCAGAGGGUUAGAAAGAUUAGGGUGGGAGUGGGAGGUUUUCAAAUUACAAAACCCUCUUGGGAGGCAUAAACUUUGUGGUAUCUUUCUUCCCCCAGGUGACCAGUCCAGUUCCUUCUCACUCCCCUCUGUCUGAGCCGGCUCUAUUCAGCCCAUAGGUCUCAGCGGCUGCUAAGAGUUUGUGCCAAGCAGGUGCCCUUGGCUGCAGGGUGGGGUAGGCCCAGGGCACUGACCCUCUGACCAGCUGCUCCAUCAACCCUUUGGCAUGCUGACAGCUCCUAGUCCAGUCUUAACAGCCAGGAUGACAGGCCAAAUGAGUUGGAGCCUGCAACUAGGGCCAGAGGGAGGUGGGGGAGAUAGCCUAGCCAGAGGCCACUGGGAGGGGCCAAGAGUUGGCCGAGAGGUGGGGAGAGAGGGAGCCCAGUGAUGACUAACCCAGGCGCCCCACCCAGCCAGCCGGCUUCCCAGGCGGUCAGGGCCAGGCCUGGGCUAGGGGCCCCACAACCGGACAGGCUGGGGGGAGGUGCAGAGGUGACCUUCUCUCGGCCCAAGACGGCCAGUUAGGCUGGGGAGGGGGGAUUAGAGUUUCCAGGCCCUCCUCUUGCCCGCUCCCUCCACCAACCGCGGUGAAACUCUAACCUUUGGGUUGCAUAAGGCCCCCGCACCGCCGCCCCCUAUUCCUCUCCCCUCCCCCCUUACAUAACAUCCCCUGGAGGGAACGAGAGGAGGGGCCAGCCCGCCCAGAGACCCCUUCUCUGCCAGGGCGCUCAGCUGGCCCUGCCUCAGUGAGUGCCGGUAGAGGCAAAGCCCCUCCCUGCUACCCGCCCCGCUCAAAUCCUCCCCAAGCUGGGAGGCCGGCUCCCGUAUCCUCGGACCAGAGGGCGCCGAGGUUAGCCGCCCCCAGCCUUCGGCCCCUCGUCUUCCUCCCAGCUACUCCGCAAGACCUUCCGCCACGACUCCCGUCCAGGACUCUACCUUUAAACCUCCUGACACACUACUCCAGCCAGUCUAGGCCCCUA
ensembl:lncRNA